rnacentral:rRNA from 1 species
GACGAACGCUGGCGGCGCGCUUAACACAUGCAAGUCGAACGGAAAGGCCUGCUUUCCCUUGUGGAUUGCGGGUACUCGAGUGGCGAACGGGUGAGUAACACGUGAGUGAUCUGCCCCCAACUUGGGUAUAAGCCUGGGAAACUGGGUCUAAUUCCCGAUCGGACUGCAGGGUGGUGCCUGUGGUGGAAAACGAUUUUCUAGUGGUUGGGGAUGAGCUCGCGGCCUAUCAGCUUGUUGGUGGGGUAAUGGCCUACCAAGGCGGGGACGGGUAGCCGGCCUGAGAGGGUGGACGGCCACAUUGGGACUGGGAUACGGCCCAGACGCCUACGGGAGGCAGCAGUGGGGAAUAUUGCACAAUGGGCGGAAGCCUGAUGCAGCGACGCCGCGUGGGGGAUGACGGCCUUCGGGUUGUAAACUCCUGUCGAACGAGAGGAAGCCACCUGGUUGGAAGGGUGGUGACGGUAGUGGUAGAAGAAGCACCGGCUAACUACGUG